AGAGUUUGAUCCUGGCUUAGGAUGAACGCUGGCGGCGCGCCUAACACAUGCAAGUCGAACGAUUAAAGCACCUUCGGGUGUGUAUAAAGUGGCGAACGGCUGAGUAACACGUGGGCAACCUACCCUUUGCACCGGGACAGCCUCGGGAAACCGGGAUUAAUACCGGAUACUCCGUGCACACCGCAUGAUGAGCACGGGAAAGCUCCGACGGCAAAGGAUGGGCCCGCGGCCUGUUAGCUUGUUGGUGGGGUAACGGCCUACCAAGGCGAUUAUGGGUAGCUGGGUUGAGAGACCGACCAGCCAGAUUGGGACUGAGACACGGCCCAGACUCCUACGGGAGGCAGCAGUGGGGAAUCUUGCACAAUGGGCGAAAGCCUGAUGCAAGCGACGCCGCGUGCGGGAUGAAGGCCUUCGGGUUGUAAACCGCUUUCAGCAGGGACGAGGCCGCAAGGUGACGGUACCUGCAGAAGAAGCCCCGGCUAACUACGUGCCAGCCGCGGC
rnacentral:rRNA from 1 species